rnacentral:rRNA from 1 species
GACGAACGCUGGCGGCGUGCCUAAUACAUGCAAGUAGAACGCUGAGGUUUGGUGUUUACACUAGACUGAUGAGUUGCGAACGGGUGAGUAACGCGUAGGUAACCUGCCUCAUAGCGGGGGAUAACUAUUGGAAACGAUAGCUAAUACCGCAUAAGAGUAAUUAACACAUGUUAGUUAUUUAAAGGGAGCAAUUGCUUCACUGUGAGAUGGACCUGCGUUGUAUUAGCUAGUUGGUGAGGUAAAGGCUCACCAAGGCGACGAUACAUAGCCGACCUGAGAGGGUGAUCGGCCACACUGGGACUGAGACACGGCCCAGACUCCUACGGGAGGCAGCAGUAGGGAAUCUUCGGCAAUGGACGGAAGUCUGACCGAGCAACGCCGCGUGAGUGAAGAAGGUUUUCGGAUCGUAAAGCUCUGUUGUUAGAGAAGAACGUUGGUAGGAGUGGAAAAUCUACCAAGUGACGGUAACUAACCAGAAAGGGACGGCUAACUACGUGCCAGCAGCCGCGGUAAUACGUAGGUCCCGAGCGUUGUCCGGAUUUAUUGGGCGUAAAGCGAGCGCAGGCGGUUCUUUAAGUCUGAAGUUAAAGGCAGUGGCUUAACCAUUGUACGCUUUGGAAACUGGAGGACUUGAGUGCAGAAGGGGAGAGUGGAAUUCCAUGUGUAGCGGUGAAAUGCGUAGAUAUAUGGAGGAACACCGGUGGCGAAAGCGGCUCUCUGGUCUGUAACUGACGCUGAGGCUCGAAAGCGUGGGGAGCAAACAGG